rnacentral:rRNA from 1 species
GUUAUUGUUUAUUUGAUACAUUAAAUGGAUAACUGUAGAAAAACUAGAGCUAAUACAUGCUAAGGCCGCAAGGUUGUAUUUAUUAGAUAUUCCGAUAAGGUGAAUCAUAAUAACUUCGCAAAUCUCAUCAAUGAUGAGAUAAAUCAUCCAAGUUUCUGCCCUAUCAUGCUUUCGUUGGUAGUGUAUUGGACUACCAUGGCUCUCACGGGUAACAGGGAAUUAGGGUUCGAUUCUGGAGAAGGAGCCUGAGAAACGGCUACUACAUCUACGGAAGGCAGCAGGCGCGUAAAUUACCCAAUCCUGACUCAGGGAGGUGGUGACAAGAUAUAACAACGAGACUUAUAAUCUCGAUUGUAGUGAGGGUAUUCUAAAUAGAACCUAUAGUACGAUUAGAGGGCAAGUCUGGUGCCAGCAGCCGCGGUAAUUCCAGCUCUAAUAGCGUAUAUUAAAGUUGCUGCAGUUAAAAAGCUCGUAGUUGGAUUUCAAGGCUUUUAUUCCCUUCCGGGAAUAUAGUCUACUAGUCAUUGACUGUUACUGUGAGAAAAUUAGAGUGUUUCAAGCAGGCUUUUGCAAGAAUACAUUAGCAUGGAAUAACGAAUGUAUUUAGAAUCGUGGUUUAAUUCUAAAUUACGAUUAAUAGAGACAGUUGGGGGCAUUAGUAUUUAAUUGUCAGAGGUGAAAUUCUUGGAUUUGUUAAAGACUAACGUAUGCGAAAGCAUUUGCCAA